rnacentral:rRNA from 1 species
GACGAACGCUGGCGGCGUGCCUAACACAUGCAAGUCGAACGGAGAUACGAUUUCGGUUGUAUCUUAGUGGCGAACGGGUGAGUAACGCGUGAGCAACCUGACUCUUAGAGGGGGAUAACACCUGGAAACAAGUGCUAAUACCGCAUAAGACCACGACAUGGCAUCAUGACGAGGUCAAAGGAGCAAUCCGCUGAGAGAGGGGCUCGCGUCCCAUUAGAUAGAUGGCGGGGUAACGGCCCACCAUGUCAGCGAUGGGUAGCCGAGCUGAGAGGCUGAUCGGCCACACUGGAACUGAGACACGGUCCAGACUCCUACGGGAGGCGGCAGUGGGGAAUAUUGGGCAAUGGGCGCAAGCCUGACCCAGCAACGCCGCGUAAGGGAAGAAGGCUUUCGGGUUGUAAACCUCUGUCCUUGGUGACGAAACAAAUGACGGUAGCCAAGGAGGAAGCCCCGGCUAACUACGUGCCAGCAGCCGCUGUAACAC